CAUCUACCCCGAUCCAGAUCCCCCACCUCCCUCCCGCACCUCCUGCCCCAAACCGGCAACGCGCCCGCCACCCCGCCCCCAACGGCGGUGGCGCCGCCACCGGCCGACAUCACCCCCUCUUCCCGAGAUCCUCUUCGACGCCACUACACCACCGGCGAACCUCGCGCGCCGCCGCCCGCUGCAAACCUCGCGCGCCACGGCCUCUUACCGAAUCCAAUCGGCGGAGCUCGCCACGGCAACCACCGCGUUCUUCCUCUCGCCGCCGCCCUGGAGAGGAACCUCCCAAACAUGCGCCACGGUGGAGCUCGCCUGCCCCAGUGCCUCUUCUCCACGCAUGCCCUUCUUCCUCGCCGGAGCUGAUGUGGGCCGCCACAUCACCCCGCUGGCCGGGACCCCCCUCCCCUGCCCCCGCGCCGUCCUGGCCGGCCACACUGACCUUCUCAUGAGAGCCACCUUGACCUUCCUGGAAUAAGGUUCAUCCAUGGAGCGGCCGCUCCCGCCCCUCCAUCUCCGGCGAGGUGCGCCAUCCCCUCCUUCAGUGCCCCCUUCGGGUGAAGCUCCACGCCACCACCAUCGUCACGCCAUUCCAGCCACCAGCACGCACAUGUUGUUCUCCUCGUCACGGCCAACCUGAACUUCCUGAGGUAGUUCCCUUUUUUGCUUUUUUGUAUAAUUAAUCUAGGUCUUGGGGCGGCAGGAUCUUGAUUUCAUUUUUGCUUGGCUCAUUGCUUGAAAGAUUAGCCGUUUGAGUGAGAAAAUAAGGGCCCUUUGCAUUUGUUUGGCGUGUAUUGGUUUAUUCAGUUUUCACUUUGCAAGAAAGAGCUUUGUUUUCUCUCGUAUCUAAAUUUUUAGAUGCUACUAUUAGGUGUACUAUUAGUACUCUCGUUUAUCGUUGCUAGCUAUGUGCUUUCAGGAACUCUCCGAGAAUUAAUAAACUCUCUGCUUUUGUCACAACUCUCGGCCUUGUUGUCUCCUCUGCCUGUUCUCUGCUUUACAGCGUCUCAAUAGCCAUGGAGAAACCUGAAGAUGCAGUUGGAGAAAAGGAAGGGCUAAAGAGUGUAAGGCGUCAUGGACUAGUGGUAAAACAAGCUUUCUUGUACCAAUGAUGAAGGAGUGUGGAUGCAACAAACUUCUGUGGUCAAAAUUGAUGGACAAAGGAGUUGCAGCACACAGAGCAAAACCUAUCUCAGGUACCUCUCACACUAAGGGAGUGACAGCGCCGGGGAGAGCAGCACAACAACGAUGACGAAUGCCAGAACGUACAGGUGGUGCUCCGACAAGAGGCCGUGCUUGCCGUCGGCCUCCUUUGCAUCUUCUUCCACGAGUGUUUCUAGUAGGGCUCGAUGUUUAUUAAAAAAGAGUAAGACAUUUACACUUUUCUUCAGGAAGACAUUUGUAAGUCAAAAAACAUGAACUUUUCUUCAACAACGAUGUAAUGCCUGAGAACAAAGUUCUGCUAUGCCUGAGAAUAUAUGAAGUACGUGGCUGGUGUUUAUGCAAA